rnacentral:rRNA from 1 species
UGAAGAGAGGAGCUUGCUCUUCUUGGAUGAGUUGCGAACGGGUGAGUAACGCGUAGGUAACCUGCCUGGUAGCGGGGGAUAACUAUUGGAAACGAUAGCUAAUACCGCAUGAAAUUGCUUAUCGCAUGAUAAUUAAUUGAAAGAUGCAAUUGCAUCACUACCAGAUGGACCUGCGUUGUAUUAGCUAGUUGGUGAGGUAACGGCUCACCAAGGCGACGAUACAUAGCCGACCUGAGAGGGUGAUCGGCCACACUGGGACUGAGACACGGCCCAGACUCCUACGGGAGGCAGCAGUAGGGAAUCUUCGGCAAUGGGGGGAACCCUGACCGAGCAACGCCGCGUGAGUGAAGAAGGUUUUCGGAUCGUAAAGCUCUGUUGUAAGAGAAGAACGGGUGUGAGAGUGGAAAGUUCACACUGUGACGGUAUCUUACCAGAAAGGGACGGCUAACUACGUGCCAGCAGCCGCGGUAAUACGUAGGUCCCGAGCGUUGUCCGGAUUUAUUGGGCGUAAAGCGAGCGCAGGCGGUUAGAUAAGUCUGAAGUUAAAGGCUGUGGCUUAACCAUAGUAUGCUUUGGAAACUGUUUAACCUGAGUGCAGAA